UCCAGUUCUUCGCUAAGUCAACUCUGGAAGAAGGGGAGCUAAGAAUUUCAAGUCGGAAGCUUUUCUCAUAGUUCACGGUAAGUUCAUCUUGGAAAUUUAGUUGCAUUGUGGAACCCGUACCGUGUAAUUUGCCACCUAUGUGAAGAUUUGAUGCUCAGUGUAUAAGGGUGUACAGGACAGCUCCAGCAGGUUCCAAUUGGUGAUACGCUGGAGUGCUAAAGCUUCCGUUCGUUGGAGUGGCUGGCCUUGAAAUUUUUUUGCGUAUUGUUUUUAUUUAGUUACAUGUAAUGCGGUGUUUCGAUGGAUGUUGGGGGUCCUGCUCCUUCCCGAGGUGAGACAUGCUGCAUCCCCUAGCUGAAGAAAGUGAUAUCAGCUGGACCAAAUUAUGUGAGAGGAUUGAUGAUGCACCGUUUCCCGUAAUCACGGCUGCCUCGGCGCUUUCCUAGGGAAAUUUGUGCAAUUGUCAUUUUUUGCAAAUCUAAGUUUUUCAGUGGUCGGGAAAUUGAUACCGGAUACAAAUUGAAUAUUGUCGUGCUGCUGAUCCAAGUGCUUUGCCUUCGUCUUCGCUGGAUUGCGUUGUUUUUUGUGGCAAAUAUUUAAUUGUAUAUACGUGUUGCUUCUUCGCUGGUGUAAAGCCGUGGAAUAUAAAAAGAUCACUUAUUUCGUUAAGAUUAUUUCGCAAAGGCUAAAUGGCAAAAAAGCAACAACCCAACCGAAAAUUGCUUGAACUUGUUUAACAAUGUAAACA